rnacentral:rRNA from 1 species
CAGCAGCCGCGGUAAUACUGAGGCCCAAGUGGUGACCACUAUUAUUGGGUCUAAAGCGCCCGUAGCCUGUUUGGUAAGUUCCUGGUGAAAUCUUCCAGUAAACUGGAAGGCGUGCUGGGAAUACUGCUGAACUUGAGACCGGGAGAGGGUGGGGGUACUCAUGGGGUAGGGGUUAAAUCCUGUAAUCCUAUGGGGACCACCUGUGGCGAAAGCGCCCACCUGGAACGGGUCUGACGGUGAGGGACGAAAGCGUGGGGAGCGACCGGGAUUAGAUACCCCGUUAGUCCACGCCGUUAACGAUGCCCACUUGAUAUCGCAAGCUUCUUGGGAGUUUGCGGUGUCGGAGCGUAGGUGUUAAGUGGGCCACCUGGGGACUAUAUCCGCAAGGAUGAAACUUAAGGGAAUUGGCGGGGGAGCACACAAGGGGUGGGCUCUGCGGUUCAAUUGGAUUCAACGCCGGGAAUCUUACCAGGGAAGACGGCAGGUUGAGGGUCAGUCUGAAGGGCUUACCUGACAAGCCGAGAGGUGGUGCAUGGCCAUCGUCAGCUCGUACCGUGAGGCGUGCCGUUAAGUCGGUUAACGAGCGAGACCCAUAUCUCAUGUUGCUACCUGUGUUUUCGAACAUAGGGCACUCAUGAGAGACCGCUGGUGAAAAAUCAGAGGAAGGAAUGGGCGACGGUAGGUCUGUAUGCCCCGAAAUUCCUGGGCUACACGCGGGGCACAAUGCGCGCUACAGUGGGACGCGACACCGAAAGGUGAAGCAAAUCCCUUAAAAGCGCGCUUAGUUCGAAUCGAGGAUUGUAACUCAUCCUCGUGAAGCUGGAAUCCCUAGUAAGCGAACGUCAUCAAGCUUAACAUUCGUUAGAUGACUUUCAUGCACCACUCUGAGCUUUCAAAGCUAUGAAGAAUAAAGAUGAGGAAUCGUAUGUUAUGCGUGGAAUCGUUCGCUGAAUAUGUCCCUGCUCCUUGCACAC